rnacentral:rRNA from 1 species
AGUGAACGCUGGCGGUAGGCCUAACACAUGCAAGUCGAACGGCAGCACAGUAAGAGCUUGCUCUUACGGGUGGCGAGUGGCGGACGGGUGAGGAAUACAUCGGAAUCUACUUUUUCGUGGGGGAUAACGUAGGGAAACUUACGCUAAUACCGCAUACGACCUACGGGUGAAAGCAGGGGAUCUUCGGACCUUGCGCGAUUGAAUGAGCCGAUGUCGGAUUAGCUAGUUGGCGGGGUAAAGGCCCACCAAGGCGACGAUCCGUAGCUGGUCUGAGAGGAUGAUCAGCCACACUGGAACUAAGACACGGUCCAGACUACUACGGGAGGCAGCAGUGGGGAAUAUUGGACAAUGGGCGCAAGCCUGAUCCAGCCAUACCGCGUGGGUGAAGAAGGCCUUCGGGUUGUAAAGCCCUUUUGUUGGGAAAGAAAAGCAGCAGGUUAAUACCCCGCUGUUCUGACGGUACCCAAAGAAUAAGCACCGGCUAACUUCGUG